AUACACAUUACAAAAACUUAUUCUCCCACCUUCCCUUGUGGUACAUCUCUACAUGAACAAAUAAACUGAUAUAAGAUAUAUUUCUUGUGUUAUAUCCCUUUGCAGAGCACUGAGCCAACAGCCAUUAGAUGUCUGAGAGGACUUCCAGUCAUUCUCACUAUGUUUUUUAAGAGCAGUUCAAAUCUUAAUGAGGGAGAAUCGGUGGACAUUCCCAUGAGUGGGGAGAGAGGGCAGCCUUGUAAUCGAAGCACUUACCAACAUACCUCAGGCAAUGUGCCUCUUGUUUGGCUUUACUGUUGUAAUUGUUGGCAAACACCCAUUUUCAUAAUUUUAUGAAAACAAAGUCUUCCUGUUAUUUUGGAUCUUCAUCUGGUAUUUCACACAGCAUCAUUGUUAAUACAUACGUGUUGCUUUGGUGUGUGUCUAAAUAAAAUGAAUAAAAUUUA